rnacentral:rRNA from 1 species
AUUGAACGCUGGCGGCAGGCCUAACACAUGCAAGUCGAACGAGUGGCGGACGGGUGAGUAAUGUCUGGGAAACUGCCUGAUGGAGGGGGAUAACUACUGGAAACGGUAGCUAAUACCGCAUACCAUCAGAUGUGCCCAGAUGGGCUUAGCUUGUUGUUGGGGUAACGGCUCACCAAGGCGACGAUCCCUAGCUGGUCUGAGAGGAUGACCGGCCACACGGAAACUGAGACACGGUCCAGAAACCGAAGGGAGGCAGCAGUGGGGAAUAUUGCACAAUGGGCGCAAGCCUGAUGCAGCCAUGCCGCGUGUAUGAAGAAGGCCUUCGGGUGGUAAAGUACUUUCAGAGAGGAGGCGGUGCAAGCAGAAGAAGCACCGGCUAACUCCGUGCCAGCCGCCGCGGUAAGAC